rnacentral:rRNA from 1 species
AACGAACGCUGGCGGCAUGCCUAACACAUGCAAGUCGAACGAGACCUUCGGGUCUAGUGGCGCACGGGUGCGUAACGCGUGGGAACCUGCCCUUAGGUUCGGAAUAACUCCCCGAAAGGGGUGCUAAUACCGGAUAAUGUCUUCGGACCAAAGAUUUAUCGCCUUUGGAUGGGCCCGCGUUGGAUUAGCUAGUUGGUAGGGUAAAAGCCUACCAAGGCGACGAUCCAUAGCUGGUCUGAGAGGAUGAUCAGCCACACUGGGACUGAGACACGGCCCAGACUCCUACGGGAGGCAGCAGUGGGGAAUAUUGGACAAUGGGCGAAAGCCUGAUACAGCAAUGCCGCGUGAGUGAUGAAGGCCUUAGGGUUGUAAAGCUCUUUUACCCGGGAUGAUAAUGGCAGUACCGGGAGAAUAAGCUCCGGCUAACUCCGUG